rnacentral:rRNA from 1 species
GACGAACGCUGGCGGCGUGCUUAACACAUGCAAGUCGAACGGUAAGGCCCUUCGGGGUACACGAGUGGCGAACGGGUGAGUAACACGUGGGUGAUCUGCCCUGCACUUCGGGAUAAGCCUGGGAAACUGGGUCUAAUACCGGAUAGGACCACUGCCUGCAUGGGUGGUGGUGGAAAGCUUUUGCGGUGUGGGAUGGGCCCGCGGCCUAUCGGCUUGUUGGUGGGGUGAUGGCCUAUCAAGGCGACGACGGGUAGCCGGCCGGCGAGGGUGACCGGCCCCACUGGGACUGAGAUACGGCCCAGACUCCUGCGGGAGGCAGCAGUGGGGAAUAUUGCACAAUGGGCGCAAGCCUGAUGCAGCGACGCCGCGUGAGGGAUGACGGCCUUCGGGUUGUAAACCUCUUUCAGCACCGACGAAGCGCAAGUGACGGUAGGUGCAGAAGAAGGACCGGCCAACUACGUGCCAGCCGCCGCGGUAA